rnacentral:rRNA from 1 species
AGAGUUUGAUCCUGGCUCAGGACGAACGCUGGCGGCGUGCUUAACACAUGCAAGUCGAGCGGGGUCCAACCACUGGCAACAGUGGGGAAGACCUAGCGGCGAACGGGUGAGUAACACGUGAGGAACCUGCCCCAGAGACCGGGAUAACCCUCCGAAAGGAGAGCUAAUACCGGAUGCCCUCUUUUGACCGCAUGGUCGGCUGAGGAAAUGGAUUCCGCUCUGGGAGGGCCUCGCGGCCUAUCAGCUUGUUGGUGAGGUAACGGCUCACCAAGGCAUCGACGGGUAGCUGGUCUGAGAGGACGAUCAGCCACACUGGGACUGAGACACGGCCCAGACUCCUACGGGAGGCAGCAGUGGGGAAUCUUGCGCAAUGGGCGAAAGCCUGACGCAGCAACGCCGCGUGGGGGAUGAAGGCUUUCGGGUUGUAAACCCCUUUCAGCAGGGACGAUUAUGACGGUACCUGCAGAAGAAGGACCGGCCAACUACGUGCCAGCAGCCGCGGUAAUACGUAGGGUCCAAGCGUUGUCCGGAUUUAUUGGGCGUAAAGAGCUCGUAGGCGGCUCAGUAAGUCGGAUGUGAAAACUCGGGGCUCAACCCCGAGACGCCAUCCGAUACUGCUGUGGCUUGAGUUUGGUAGGGGAGCACGGAAUUCCUGGUGUAGCGGUGAAAUGCGCAGAUAUCAGGAGGAACACCGAUGGCGAAGGCAGUGCUCUGGGCCAAUACUGACGCUGAGGAGCGAAAGCGUGGGUAGCAAACAGGAUUAGAUACCCUAGUAGUCC